rnacentral:lncRNA from 1 species
AGCCUUUGAAGAUGCAGUCCAUCAGGCAAUACACCAGUCUGCAAAGGUAUUGGAAACUUCUUGGCAAAGCCAGGAGCUGCAAGCUGAAAACUCAGCUUGUAAAAUGUGAAUGAUCGAAAUGCAUCAACUUUAAAGUAUGUUCUGUAAUGCUUCGGACAAAUAAAGGAACCCUUAAAAAGAAAGGGCAAAAUCAAAUGAGGAAUCCAGGCUGUGACUGGUUGUCCUCCAGUAAUGUUGAAACCUGGCUAAAUUUAGAAAAAGAGGCCCUGAAACUUCUCCUGAACAGAACUAGUGUUUGUACCUUGAAAUGAUGCUGAGGGUUUCACUUUUCAUUACAAGCAGAUUACUUGGGUUUCUCAAGGAAUUUAAAGCACUCUUAAAAAAAAUGUGUAAUUUUGUCAGCUGUAAAAUGACUGUGGUGGCAACAUGUGCUAGGGAGCAGCCCUUGCUCUCCCCAUGCAGGGACCUGCAACCAUUCACAUCCAUCAGUGGAACACAGCAGGUGACAGCAUGGAUGAAAAGCAGGACAGGGUCCUAUUUUAAUUCCUAGGGCUAACCUCCUCCAUUGACCAGGGAUGCUCAGAGAGCUGUUAAAUUGGCUUUGUUUUGUUUUCAUUGACAAUAACAAUCUUCUCAACAUCACAGACCUCUGUGGCCAAUUUAAUCCCAGUAAUGCAGCUCCUCUGAAUGCUGGGACUGAUCCCGAUGAGGUACCAUGGGGCCAGCCCUGCUUUGCAAGGUGCCUCUGCAAGGAAAAGAGCUGUUAACCCGAAUUACUUGGCAGCUCCCAGAAAUUCUAGCAGUUUUAGACUUGCAGUGAGACCUUGGCGAAGGACAACCACAUUUACCCCGGUGCCUCACAAGAGCCCAUUGCAGAAUUGGGUCCAUUUUUUUAACGGACUUCUUUAUGAACCUGUGUCCUCCAGUAAGGAUCAGAAAGGACGGUACUUUGGUGUGCAUUCAUUUGAGCUUUUCUUCCUCCUGAAUCUGCAUACGCUGUGUGACAAGGAAGCCUGCUGA